rnacentral:lncRNA from 1 species
GCCCAACCACCAGCCCCGUCCCUCCUAUUGCAAAUGAAGUGUUCCUAGUCACCUUUGGAGAGGUUUCUAUCAGCAUUUUAGAUAGAAUUUCUCUUUAAAGCUCUAUGUCCUGGUUUUGUUAGUAAUGCAUGAAAAUGUCAAGGAUUCAUGGAAUUUUUAUCCUUGGUUACUUUUUGGAAUGUAAUUGUAUCCGUUACCUUUGAAUCCAUUGGCUCAGGUUCUCUAAGUAAAUCAUCCACUGCAAACUCCUUGAGGUAGGGACUGGUUUUUUUUUUUUCUCUCAUCAGUAACCUCAUCACUUAGCACAGAGCCUAGUAUACAGUAGGUAUACCCUGCUUAGUCUUUAGAAUUCUAGCAACCAGGAAUGCAUACACCCCCGCUUAAGGAUUAACUGUGAGAAGCAUGGCCUAUGACUGGCAUUUGCUAGCAAGUGACAAAUCAGGAACAACUGACUGACCCCCUGGGCUGUCCAAAGCCAAGAUUAAGGCACCAUUAGUACAUGUGAGACACAGGAAGUGACAUAAAGAAAGGCCUUUAUAUUUUGUGUCACUUCCUGUGAGAGGGGCUUUUGUGGACUUUGGUGGUGGAACGUGGCUUGAUGGAGCUCUAGCAUGGGACCUCCAUCUUCUUCCCUGAACAACCAUGUGAACAUGAACCCCUCCAUUCAGCUUUAAUUGCAUGGAGAUUUAAUUUGGCCUUGCUGCUUUGAAGUCCAUAUCAAGCACUGAAAAAAAGGGCUAUUGUGACUGUUGGCAAGGUCUCAGGAAAAAAAAAAAAAUCCGGUGGCUCCUGCGCUGACGAAUUUCUGAACUUCCACCUCCAGAAGACAGUUGACAGACUGACAUUUUGUAUUGCUGAAUCUGUUAAGCUAUCCAGAUUUAAAUACAGCAGUAAGCCGGAGGAGCAACAUGACAAUGGUGGUCCACACUGCUUAUAUGAUUUCUCCCAGAAACAAAAGGCAAGAGCUUAUCUUCUAAAUGGAAGAAGAGAUACAGAGAAUACAUUAAUGGAAAAUGGAAAAUAGAAGGGGAAGAGCGAAUUCUUAAGUAGAAAGGCACUUUUGGCGGUGGAGAGAUGGCUGGUGGCAGCUUGCUGAGCAUGCUAAGUGUUCCAGCAUCUUGGUGUGGUGGAAGCUAUUGUCUGGUUUGACAGUGAGUUUUCCUUGAUACUUUACUGGGAGAAGUUGAAUAGCCUAGUUCAGGUGAGACAUCUUAACUGAGCUCUCUUUGAGUUUAGGCUGAUUCUUUCUCCUUUACCUUCCAAACACUAUCCUCUUAGAAAGCCACUAAUUUUCAGAGACCUUAUGGCAGAGGACUUUGAACUCCCCCUGGCACAGGCCAUGCAGGAGAACUCCUAUACCCUUUCCCUUUCUCUUCUCCUUGAUCUUUUCUCUCUAUAUUGAUUAAACCACCAU